rnacentral:snRNA from 1 species
AUACUUGCCUGGCAAGGGAGAUACUAUGAUAAGGAAGGUGGUUUUCCCAGGGCGAGGCCCAUCUAUUGCACUCCAGAUGUGCUGACCCUUGCAAUUUCCCCAAAUGUGGAAAACUCCACUACAUAACUUGUGGUAUGGGGGACUGCAUUCACAUUUUCCCCUG